CACCACCACCACACAAAAAAAUUAAACUAUAUAUAUAUCCCAUAGCUGAUAGUCUGUACUGUCUGCUGUUAAACCAAAAGAAAAAGGAGUCAUCCAUUGCUUUUUUUCUAUCCUUUCUUUACCUGGAGAAAAUCAGGGCAGUUAUUGAAGUAUCAGAGAACUCAUUAGAACAUCUGCUUCAGUUGUGUGUUGGUAACCUUUUCAAUACUUACAAAUUUAUAAAUUCACAUUCUUGUUUGGCUUGCAUUCACACCCAGAAACACACACAAACAUAGAUAUUGAACAUACUUCAAGUACAUAUACAUAUCAGUAAUUCACACUUUAGUCCUAUACAUACGUUCACACCUUCUCAUAAAAUAUCACACAUCAUUUGCACAAACAUAUAUCCACAAAGAUAAAUACUAGAAUUUCUGUUUUUAUUUUUCUUGGAGAGAACAGAAUUCUUGAAACAUAUCAGUAAAAAUUGUAAAGAAAACACACUUAAUCAUUCUACUUCUCCUCUUGAUAACUGAUCUUUCCUUUCUAGGGUUGGGGACACAUCAUUUCCUAAAUACAAACAUGUCCCAAUAGAAAUUAGCUAAAAUUUCUUCUGAAGAGCUAUACCAUCCAUUACUUUGUAGGUCUUUAUUGUGUUCCACAAUGAACUUUAUACAUGGUUGCUGUUCUGUUUCAGAGGAGUCAAGCUAAGCCAAAGGAGAGUUGAACUCAAGGGCAAAACCCUUAAGGCCAAUCUCCAUGUACAGAGGGGAAAUUGACCCUGUUUGAGCUACUGAGCCCGCUGGGUGAGUUGACAAAAGACUUCAUUCUGCAACUAUUUUGUGAAUACCUUUCACCUGGGGCAAAUUCAUCACCCGAAGAGAGAUAGCAAAAUCCAGGCUUGGACUGUUAGAGCAUUUUCUCCUAUACCUGGGAGGGAAGGCUGAGGGAUGAGCCAGGUCAGGUCUGAGAAAGGCCCAAGGCUGAAAGGAAUAAAGUGACAGCUCCAGAUGUAAUUGGAAAUAAAGAGAACACUAAGUUCUGAAGUCACCAAGUUCUGAUUUUCCUCUUAUAAGUACUACUUAGGUGUUUUUAUUUGAAAUGUAAAAUAUCAGAUUGUUUUAAACUCUUUCUGUCUUGCUCUUUUUCUCCUUCUUAAGUAUUGUUGUUUUGCUGGUAGUCUAAGUACCAUCUGCCUCUGCCUAGGGGUAACAUAGCCCUGAAAAGGCAAAGGGAUGUUGUACCCCUUCACUUAGGAACUCACCUUCCUACAGAACCCAAUCACUUUCCUUGCGAAUAUUUAAUUUUUAAGAAGUAUUAAGAAUGGGAAAAGAAGAUCUUUUAAAAAUCUGGUCUGCCUUCUAGAAAAAUGUAGUUGGCAUUGUUUUAAAGGAACACUGGAUAACCUGAACUUGACAAUAAUAUUUGCUAAAUACUGAAGCCUGACUGUAGCAGAUAAUCUGAUUACUAUAGCUUACUUCACGACAGCUUGGUAAAAGACCAAUCAGAUCCCUCGCUUUAGUUGAACUGAAGGAAAAAGUCCUUGGCGAAACCAGGGAAACUUGGCCAUUGGCUGAAUGUGGGAUUAGAGGGCCCAGUUGUUGUAAAAGGUGAGUCUGGGGUGAUGGGACUGGGUUACCAGGAAAGGGAGGGAUCGACAUUAGCAGAAAGAUGGGAGAUGGCACCCAACUCUUAACUCACUCAAUUUGACCUUUCUGGGGCUCAGCUUCACAAACUGUAAUUCAAAGAAUGGACUGAAUUAGGUGUGUAGCUUUCAAAUUUAUUUGCUUUUUUUGAAGUACUUUUUUUUUUUCUUGAACAAAACUCUACCUAGACCUCCCAUGUACAAAGAACAUAAAAGGGAGCUCUUCUUGGAUGCUGGGAGGGAGGUAGCCAGAAGCAUUGUAGUGUCCAGGCCUCCUAGUUCCUGCCCUCAGCUCAGAAGGGCUUCUCUGCAAGUCCACUGGGGCUUCCUGGAACAUGGUUUGAAACCCUCUAAAUGGGGCAUCUCCAUUCCCUGUUACUUUAAAAUGCUAUGGAAAAGAGAAAGAGCAGAUGACUAGGAGACAUCUAUUUCCUAUGUAUACCUGAGGGCACUUAGUGGAGAAAAGCAAUCGGUCUCAUUUCCUCUGAAAAUAAUAUACUUUAUCUACUUUAUAAUUUAUUUCUUAUCUACAGCAUAAUCCCACUUUGUCCCUAUUUCCACAGCAUUGUUUUCAUUUAAUUAUUGGUAGCAAGGCAAAGAAGAAACUCUUUCUUCUACUUAAAAAGAAAGGAGGUUGUCACCUUGCCACUUACUCCACCAGGAAGUUUAUUAGAAAUAGCAUUGGAGCAGGAUUUAAAAGCCUAGUAAUCAAGUCUAGUCUCACCACUAGCAAGCUGUGUGACCUUGGGUAAGCUAGUAGACAACUCUGAGCCUUUGUUUUCUCAUCUAUAGAAUGAGAGGGGUGAUUCUAAAGGUCAGUUCCAGUGCUAAAAUCCAAAGCCCAUGUAGUGAGGUGGGGAAUAGAUCUUAUAACCCACAGAUUGAGCCAAGAAUUCAAAAGAUUCUCUACCCUCCUAGACAAUAAGACAUUUACUCAAGGUGCUACCCCUGUUCUAUCUGCUUGGUAAGCCUGAAACCAAACUCCAGGAUUCUUCAGAAAACAUGUCUGUCUUGCAUUACGGAGAGUUCAAAUGUCUCCUUUAAUCACAUCAGGUCUACUAACACGAGUUUCUUUUUGUAACUGAGUCUGUGGCUGCAUAUUUAUAAAUAUUAUGGAUACACAGUUCUGUGUGUGAGCAUGUCAACAACAGUGAUGCAUGAAAAGAAAAACCAAAAGGAGUUUCUUCAAAUCCCUCACCCAGAUCAUCUAAGUCGUUGGCUCAGGGUUUUAACCAAAUUUUGCUCACCAACCCGGGAUAAGCUGCGUUUUAAGAAUUAUUUCUGUGAGCUGAGGCUGGAUUUUGUUUUAUUCAAAGCAACUUCAGCCUGUCACAAGACAGUCUCAUAAAAUCUGUAUCUUGGCUUAAGCUGGGAAGAAAUGAGCCAAUCCAUCAGCCCAGGAAUGUGGCUGUUUGACCACUUCCUAAGGCAACUGGGAAGGGAUGCAAUCUACUCAAUUUAUGGAGACUGGUGGCAGUGAAUGAUGCACUCCUGAAGGCACAGCAAAUGGAAAUCCUUCUGAACUUUUGAAAUGAUAAAGUUCAAAAUCUGAAUAAAAGGGCCAUCUAGGAGGGAAGGAGAGAGGGAAGCAGAGAGCAGGAGAGGAAGCCAGCAUAUGAGUUUGGAAAUGAAUAAAGAAUGAAGCAAAUUCCCUCUCUUAAAACACCUCCAAUGAAUUCACUUAGGAGAGAACUGGAAAUUGGGUCUGGAAAUGGGGCCUUUUGAACAUCUCUCCCCUCAAUCUAGAUUCUAAAAAUGAAGCCUCAUUUAAUCGGUAAAAUGUAAGUUUGAUGCGAUUACCUCUCCUGACCUCGAAUCAUGCCACCUGUGUUAACCUUAUUAUUUGUCAUCUUAUAUCAUAAACAAAUGCAAUUCCAAUAGGGCAGCCGAUAUAAUGUCAUUAGUUUAUAUUUAUGUCCUCUCUUUUCCAGCCCUCAUUGCAAAUGCAAUUUUGAUGCCAUUGAUGAGAGAUCUGGGAUUACAAUUCCUGACCAUUUUAGGAGACAUUUGGGGAAGGAAACAGAAGAAUAAUUUUGAGGUCUCUCCAAAAACCAAAGGAGAAAAAAAAGUAAUAUAAUAUUGUCUUCAUUUAUUUUGAUUAACUGAAGCUUAUGUUGAAACAUUAAUGGCUCCCCAUUGGUUAGCAAGUGAAACCCAAACCUCUUUGCCUAGCAAUUUGGGCCUUGAAUUGAGCCCAAGCUAUUAUUUAUAAUCUUGUUUGCAAUUAUUUCCCACCAUACAUUCUAAACUGCAGCUUCUGAGUGUUCCCCAAACCAACCCAGCAUCCAUUUCUCUACUCACACCUUCCCCUUCCCCUGGUAUGCCCUUCCCUGCUCUAAAUCCCACCUACUCUCUCACUCCAGGCUGCCUCUGCCCUUUCUCCUCUCCCAUACUGGGAGUGGUCUUUCUCCUCUGUGCAUCUGAGAGGCUGAAGCUCUUUAGCAUCUUCUGAGAUGUGUGAGAGUUCUGGAGGGCCUCAUCCAGUCUACUGAGCCACCAGCAACUUGAGGUCAUGACUCCUUGCUGAUCCAUCUUUGGCAAGUCUUACAGGAUCAAACCAGAACCUUUCCCAAAAGUCAGACUCAUCAAGAUUUGGUGAAUUAACCAAUUAAGAAGUGACCAAAGGAACAUCAAAGGUAUCACUAGAUAGGACAGACUCUGAGAGUUCUAUCAGAAAUUAUUCUGCGGCCACAGCUACUGCGCUUCCCUCCCCACCCCCAGCUGUUAUUAAGUGCAAAUGUUUCUUAGUGGUGAAUUGAGAGUUUGAAUAACUUGUCUGGGAUAAUAAUACCUAGUCACAAGUAGGUCAAGGUAGAGUUAGUGCGAACUAUGUCUCCUAGAACACCCUAAAGCAGAUAAUAAUGAUAAAUUUCAAAGCACAUUCACAUUUUAUUUUAUUUUAUUUUAUUUUUUGAGACAGAGUCUCACUCUGUCACCCAGGCUAGAGUGCAGUGGCACAAUCUCGGCCCACUGCAACCUCCGCCUCCCAAGUUUAAGCGAUUUUCCUGCCUUAGCCUCCCAAGUAGCUGGGAUUAUAGGCGCCCACCACCAUACCCAGCUAUUGUGUGUGUGUGUGUGUGUGUGUGUGUGUGUGUGUGUGUGUGUGUGUGUGUAUUUUUAGCAGGGAUGGGGUCUUGCUAUGUUGGCCAGGCUGGUCUCGAACUCCUGACCUCAGGUGAUCUGCCCACCUCCUCCUCCCAAAGUGCUGGGAUUACAGGCAUGAGCCACCAUGCUCGGCCAUUUUAUUUUUAAUACUAGUAAAAUUAAUUUAUCUCAGGGGUUUUGUCCCCUUCACUCCAACCCCCACACUUCCAAAGGCAACUUUAAAUAUUGGUUAUCUGUACCACCAGGAAGAUGCUGACUAUUACUUCAUCACUAAGCCAUUUGUUGGUAUUGGAUUUUCUUGUGCUUGGUUUCAGCAAACCUCUCUUUACUCAACCCCCUCCUCAUUUUCCUUUCUGUAGCCCCUAGAAUGCCUUUGGGGAACAUCUGUUUUAUUUUUUCUCCUGUAUCCAAACAAUUAUUAUUAGCAUUCGGUCUAGUAAUUUGCAAUUCCCAUUAUCUUCUCUGCUGAAAGACUCGCCAGAACUGGUUACUGGUUAUCGCAGGAUUUGUGGAGGCGGGAGCAGGGUACCACGGCCACGUGCACUCAGCUGGCCGGCAGCCUCGUGCACUCUGUGCUACCGAGAGCUUCUCUUUUGUUAUUCCCAGCCCCUCCUUUUUUUCUGGAUUAGAUAAUGACUCCUUUAUGAAGACCCAGAGGGAAAUGGGAUUAUUAAGACCCUUGCUGGGUAAAAGCUAUUUUGUCUUUAUGAUGACUUUUUUGAGUUCAGCUGCUGAAGGGCCUUAGUGCCAGAGUAGAAGUUAUUACACAUUCGGGAGAGCGCCUUAAACACGGUGUUCCCUGCUGAGCACACUCUCAGUGUUGAAGGAUGGAAGGGGAGGAAAAGGAAAGGAAAUGAGAGAUUAAAAAGAAAAUAGGAGGUAAGAAUACUGAAAACAGAGGAAGAAGGAGGGAAAAAAUGCAAGGGAGACAUAAAUCUAAGAUAAGAACUCAGCAGAGAAUAUUCUCUGAAGAAGAGCAUGGCGAGAGAUAAUAUGGUGCUUACAAAACACAGAGGUUUGGUGGUGGAAGAACUGAGAAUAAGAAUUAUUUUUUAAAUCUCAUAAAAAUCAACUUACCACAAUGGUUAUAGUGUGCUUUCUACGAUCACGAGAUUCCACUAACCCCACUGAAACAGUUUUAAAGAUUCAGUGACUUCAGAAUGGGCUUCAUAUGUGCCAAACAGUAUUCUACAUAAUCUGACAUAGCCCAACAACCCUAUGAAGUAGGUAUUGUUACCAAACACAUUUACAGACAAGGAAACCGAGGCACAUAGACUAAGUAUCUGAUCACACAGGAUACUGGGAUCACAGAGCCAGCAAGUGGCUGAGCUAGAUUCUAAACCCAGGCAGUCUAGUUCCCAUGUUUCAGAAGCUGGGAAGGCCAGGGAUGAUCCCCACAAAACUUCUCAGUGGCAAACCUACUUGGUAGCAUUUAGGGAAAGACAAAUAUUUUGCCUGUUUGAAAACCCCCUUUUCUCUGCCUGUGCCAGUACUCUGUCUGUGUGAACAAUGAGAGAUGUGUUUGAGGCUGGGGUGUGAGUGGGCUGGAAGCACUUAACACCUUCUCCACUCCCUGUACACACAGGCACUCAGCUCCUUGUCAUCCUGGCCCUCUUUCCUGUGUUCUGGAAACCCUAGGCAUGGGGCCGGGGAGGGCGGGUGAUGGAUAGGAAGUUCAGGUCUGAAACCAUGUAUCACAACAUCGAAGGGUUUUUUUGUUUUUUUUGUUUUGUUUUGUUUUUUUGUUUUUUGCCAACUCCUAUUUCUCUCCUUUCUUCUCAAUCCUACUCUUCUCUAUCCUAAAUGCCACAUUGUUAUUGUUCUACUGGAUAGGAGUAGCAUUUUCAGAAAUGGGGGAUUUAUUUUUAUAGCACAGCUGGUCUGCCAAAGGUCACAUAAUUUGGCAAUGUUCCCAGUGGUUAAAAAUUAAUUUCUCCUUAUUAAUACAACCAAGGUCCCAGAGGAUCGGAGCUCAGCCUUAUCUAAACUUGACAGCUUCCUAAACCUUUAGAAGAUGCUUUCUCCUGGAGGGCCAGCCAUGAUACAAGGCCACUGUGUCCUGGAAUCCUACUCCACUGAAUCCUGUUAGGCAAUGAAACCAUUAAGCCUCUGACCAUUUCUCAUCAAGGCAGAUAAAGCUUUGAAAAAUACUGUAGCUCUCCAGGACAAACUUCUGCAGCAUCUUCCAGAAAUGGGUUAAUUAAAAAACAAAAAUCAGCAAACAGCCAAGUCCUUACCUGGAAGGAACAGUACAAAGACUAACUUCUGGUGAUCAAUAUACUUAUCUGCCACUCAAGGAAGGUAUCUCAAAGAUUAUCCAGUUGCAAGUGAUGGUCAGAUAAUAAAAUACCUCAAAUAUGUUAAUAACACUACAAGCCAUUGCCCAGAUGACACUUUUCAAGUCCUUUCUUGUCAGUUCAAGAAAUUAAAAAGAUAUUCUUCUUUUGCUCUAUCUUUUAAGAAAGGAAGAUCUCAGCUCAAGUUCCUAAAGUCUUUCCAAACUGGACCUUUGGAGAAUAUAUUUGGAAACCUCUUUACCUGGCUCUUGAAUUCUGUCAACUCAGAAUUGUCUUACACUCAGGUCAUCCUGAGUCAGUUCAUUUUCCUGAUUGCUUUAGGGAAGACUUGAGUGAAAUGAAAAACACCAGGGUCCCCAGAAUCAUCUGGUCCCUGGUGUCUCUCCUCACUGACCCCAGACCCCUCCCUCACUGUCAUUUGUAUUCGUGCCUCACUGCAUAUGAAUUGGCAUUUGGAUUCCUAGCUUUUUCUAUGCCUGGAAGAUAGGAACUGGCCUUUCUGCUGCAGAACGUGGACUUGAUACAUUCAACAGCAGGGGAUCAGAGCCAUUUGGUAGACAGCAGGAGUCCUGUCUGGGUAGCCUGGGUUCCAGUCACUGCAGCCUUCCAAUCUUUCAUUUUGCCAGUUGAGUGCUCCGUAGCUUAAUGUCUGAGGGCUCUAUGGGAUGACAUAAAACUCCAAACCUGAUGUGCACUGGCGCAUUCACAAUUCCACCAGGCACCGCUUGGACGAGUAGGGGCCUGCCCGGGGCCCUUUGGGGAGUGCUCCUCUUGCCACUGUCUUGCACUGUGUGCUCUGCUGGCAACUGGCCACAGCUUCCCUACCUCCAGGAGCUGAUCACGGGGGAAAAAUGUUUACUGGGUACCCAUUUAAUGUGGGCAUGAGACCAAUCCCUAGAGCCCAGAGCAGGCCGUCUGCGUAAAAUCUAGGAGUUUACAGUUUACUUGCAAAUUAUUAUGCUCGCCAAUGGCCAUCUCACAUUUUGGGGAGACAGGCUAAAAGAAACACUUCAAACCCUUAUCCGGCGCCUAGACCGUCAUUGCUUCUCUUUCAGGAUUUGUCUGAACCCAGACCUGUCUCCCACAGCCAAUUUACACCUCUUAUCUGAUCAUCCAGUCCAGACGGAAGGAAGAAAUUCAGCCGGAGCCGCAGAAGCCGCAACGCAUAUGGGCAAGAUCCCCUAAAACUUGGUCUGGAAAGCUGAUUCCCGAAGGUUCCCCAACCCAGAUGAUUCCCAGAGGGGCGACAAGUCUAUUCCAAAUCCCUCCCCCACCUCCAAACACUAGGGCUACCGGCGCCCGCCACCCAGCCGCUGGACGCCUGCGACCCGGUGGGAAAGACCCCCGGCACAGCCAGCCCGAGUCGAAGGGCGGGGGCAGCCCUUCAAUCAGAGCGCGCCUUGCCUCCAUUAACUUGUGUUGAUAUUAAAAAGAAAUCAAUCAGUGAAAAUGAAGCAUCGGCCGUGAACAUUUCUUUUUCUCACGUGGAAAAGCAAAGAGCGAGGCGGCUGGGGAGGGGAGGCGGGAACUCGCCGGCGGCUGCAGGCAGAGGCUUCUCCAGAGACCAGCGCUGCAGCCGAGACCUAACUUUCCGGCAUAGGGCAGCGUUGAAGAAAUGCCGCAGGCUUUUCCCUGGGGGUGUCCUUAGGAGGAGGAGGAGGAGGAGGGCACAAGCAUG
rnacentral:lncRNA from 1 species